GACGAACGCUGGCGGCGUGCCUAAUACAUGCAAGUCGAACGAACCGCGACUGAGUGCUUGCACUUGGUCAAGGUGAGUGGCGAACGGGUGAGUAACACGUGGGUAACCUACCUCAUAGUGGGGGAUAACAGUCGGAAACGACUGCUAAUACCGCAUAGGACGUGGAAUCACAUGAUUCUGUGAGGAAAGGUGGCGCAAGCUAUCGCUAAGAGAUGGACCCGCGGUGCAUUAGCUAGUUGGUAGGGUAAGGGCCUACCAAGGCGAUGAUGCAUAGCCGACCUGAGAGGGUGAUCGGCCACAUUGGGACUGAGACACGGCCCAAACUCCUACGGGAGGCAGCAGUAGGGAAUCUUCCGCAAUGGACGCAAGUCUGACGGAGCAACGCCGCGUGAGUGAAGAAGGUCUUCGGAUCGUAAAGCUCUGUUGUUAGAGAAGAACAGCGCAUAGAGUAACUGUUAUGCGUGUGACGGUAUCUAACCAGAAAGCCACGGCUAACUACGUG
rnacentral:rRNA from 1 species